rnacentral:rRNA from 1 species
GCAAAUUACCCACUCCCGGCACGGGGAGGUAGUGACAAAAAUAACGAUACGGGACUCAUCCGAGGCCCCGUAAUCGGAAUGAGCACACUUUAAAUCCUUUAACAGUAUCCAUUGGAGGGCAAGUCUGGUGCCAGCAGCCGCGGUAAUUCCAGCUCCAAUAGCGUAUAUUAAAGUUGUUGCGGUUAAAAAGCUCGUAGUCGGACUUGUGUCACACGCUGCCGGUUCACCGCCCGUCGGUGUUUAACUGGCAUGCACGUGCUGACGUCCUGCCGGUGGCCCAAGCCGGUCCGGGAGCUCUGGGUGCGGGAUUCCCUCCGGGGGCUCGCCUCGAACCCGGUUCUUGGGGAGGGCCUACUCAUACCCCUCGCGGUGCUCUUAACCGAGUGUCUCGAUGGGCCGGCACGUUUACUUUGAACAAAUUAGAGUGCUUAAAGCAGGCAGCAUCCGCCUGAAUACUGAGUGCAUGGAAUAAUGGAAUAGGACCUCGGUUCUAUUUUGUUGGUUUUCGGAAUCCCCGAGGUAAUGAUCAAUAGGGACAGACGGGGGCAUUCGUAUUGCGACGUUAGAGGUGAAAUUCUUGGAUCGUCGCAAGACGGACCGAAGCGAAAGCAUUUGCCAAGAAUGUUUUCUCUGAUCAAGAACGAAAGUUAGAGGUUCGAAGGCGAUCAGAUACCGCCCUAGUUCUAACCAUAAACGAUGCCAGCCAGCAAUCCGCCGAAGUUCCUCCGAUGACUCGGCGGGCGGCUUCCGGGAAACCAAAGCUUUUGGGUUCCGGGGGAAGUAUGGUUGCAAAGCUGAAACUUAAAGGAAUUGACGGAAGGGCACCACCAGGAGUGGAGCCUGCGGCUUAAUUUGACUCAACACGGGAAACCUCACCAGGCCCGGACACCGGGAGGAUUGACAGAUUGAGAGCUCUUUCUUGAUUCGGUGGGUGGUGGUGCAUGGCCGUUCUUAGUUGGU